GACGAACGCUGGCGGCGUGCCUAAUACAUGCAAGUCGAGCGCAGGAAGCUGACGGAACUCUUCGGAGGGAAGGCAGUGGAAUGAGCGGCGGACGGGUGAGUAACACGUAAGGAACCUGCCUCAAGGGUUGGGAUAACUCCGAGAAAUCGGAGCUAAUACCGGAUAGUUCAUCGGACCGCAUGGUCCGUUGAUGAAAGGCGCUUCGGCGUCACCUUGAGAUGGCCUUGCGGUGCAUUAGCUAGUUGGUGGGGUAACGGCCACCAAGGCGACGAUGCAUAGCCGACCUGAGAGGGUGAUCGGCCACACUGGGACUGAGACACGGCCCAGACUCCUACGGGAGGCAGCAGUAGGGAAUCUUCCACAAUGGACGAAAGUCUGAUGGAGCAACGCCGCGUGAGUGAUGAAGGUUUUCGGAUCGUAAAACUCUGUUGUAAGGGAAGAACACGUACGAGAGGGAAUGCUCGUACCUUGACGGUACCUUACGAGAAAGCCACGGCUAACUACGUGCCAGCCGCCGCCGUAA
rnacentral:rRNA from 1 species